AAAUUCACUUGUUUUGAACUAACCUUUGAAAUUUGGAAAUCAAUUAGUGUUGCAAUCCAAGAGUAUAACAAAACAAGCGGAACGAGAAAUGGAGUUUCAAGCACCAAGAUAUAGUACCUCCAAGUUGCUGAAAAAGUUAAGACUGUUGGGCUAUUUUCCAGGUUUAAAACUAGAUUCGAAAUAUCAUUUGGUCAUCAAGUUGGCAUUAGAAAUACAUCAAACUUGGUACACUAAAUCUUCCAUGUGUGAACAACAUUUCUACUAAGUUUCGUACAAAAACUCUCACGGUAAGGUAGUCAUUAAAACAACCAAAGUUUAUGAAGAGUUUCAAGGCUAAACUACCUUCUCACUUUUCUUUCGUUUACAAACUUUUGUACCAUGAAAUCAGUUCCAAAUCUCUCCAUUAUUGAAACCAAGAGUUCAUAAACAUCCACUGAGCAAUUUAAAGACCAUUGACAUCCAAAUUCUAGAAAUAAAACUCUCCAAAUCAGAUUUGACCAUUUGCCUAAGAGAAAACGAAAAGUUUUCCAGAUUCGAUGAGCGAAUUUUGUGACAUCAUUUGCAUAUCAAAAUGGUCUUAGAAUAUUACCAAAUUUUGUACAAUUAAACCUCCAUAUGAGGAUUACUCUUCUAUCAAAUUCAUUUGAAAAUUCACACGGGAAGGUAGUUAACUAAACCAUCAAAGUUCAGGAAAUUUCCCAAGGUAAAACUGUCUUCUAGCUCUUCUUUCCUUUUUAAACAUUUUGUCCAAAGCAACCAACCCAAAUCUGGUUUAUUUGUGAAACAAAGUCCAAGGAACAUCUAAUCUAAAGUUUGGUAGAUGUCGGACAUCAAAGUUUCCAAAACAACAAGUCCCAAAUCAUUGUUAGGCCAUUCAACUAGCCAAAAGAGGAUUUUUACUCACUGCAUCAGUUUCGAAAUAUGGCCACAACUCACUCAAUUCAACUUGGAAUUGAGCGUGGUUGAUAGCGUUGGAAAGCUCUCUCAUAAAGCUGAAUUUUAUCAGAAGAAACCAUUUUGAAAUUCUAUCCACAAACAGCUCGUUUUUGAGCAUCAAGAUACAAGUCCUGUCCUGUCUCCUGGAGAGAAACGAAACAGGAUAGUGAUAUUCAAUCGAAUGGUGUGGCUCACUCAAGUGGAACCAGAAUGUAAAAUUGGUACCAAUGGAAAGCUGGGAAUGUCUAGUUUCCAAUGCCACAAACGGCACUUGAUUUCGACAUCGGAGUAAAGAGUUAUGGCCGAUACAAAAUGACUGCCUGGGCAAUACGGGAAUCAUUUUCCAGAUUUGCUAACUUUCGAAAUCAACUCAUUUGACCAACCAAAUCAUGUUAUUUUUCAAUGAAAUUUUGUACACACUUACAAUAAUAGAUAAACAACAUAAUCAAUUCAUUAGAAUCUCAAAAUCUGGCACAAAAAUGGUCGGACAAGGCAGGGGUAAAACGGUCACUUUUGCUCCAAGCACCUCCUUUGAUUUUCUACCAACAAUACAACAUUAAUCUACUAAUAUAAGCACUAAACCACUAUUAAUUUCAUCAUCCAACAUCAAAUCAGUCCUUCCAUCAAAAGUGGGAGUUCAUAGAGCCCACACACACAAAUCCACCAUAAACAAGACCACCCACAUGCAUGCAAGAGUUUAUACGUGUAAUAGAGCUUCCGUAAACUAAGAUUCAAGGAGUUGAUCGUCCAUUACCUCUCUUGAUGAACUAGGACAGAAUUUCGGCCCCUUAGAUGCUCAAGAAAACCGUGGAUAGCAGCCCUCUUUCUUAGCUUGAUGUAAUCUCCAAGUAAUUAGCUAAGAGUGGUUGAAAUUUGAAGUGAAAUGGAGAAGAUUUGGUGAAGAAAUUUGGAUGGAAUUUGAGUUGUUUUUCUCCUUUGUUAGCCGGCCAAAUGAGGGAGCAAGAGAGAGAGUGUGGUCAGAUUUCUAAGCUUCCAAGAGAAGACAAUAACCUGUGGCCACAAAUCACCCAUUAGUCAACUCACAUUAGGGUGCGUUUGGCGCGAUUCGGUUCGAUUCCUCUUGCGUUUGUUUCACUAGUGUACUAAACUUCUAAUGCAUUUAUAUUCAUAUAACUAUUAUUCACUCUUAAUUGUCCCAAAAUAAGAGUCUAAAGUUCCUCAAUUUAAAUUGCGCGUGUGAAAACGCGUAUCUCCAAUUUAAGCGCAAUAACGCGAAACUUCCGAGAAAUUCUUAUAACGAUAGUACUAAUAACUAUCACUUGAGUAUUUAAACAUUAAAAUGCCUAAUUUAGGUCCAUUGUACAUGUCUCCAAUAUUUCAAACCUAUUGUACUCUCAAUCGAUCAAGAUUUCCAAAGACGUGUUCACUAUUUUUACAAAACGAGCUUCCGAAAAUUAAUUUUUGAAAUAAGUCAUUUUAAAAAUAUAAUGAAACUAUAUUUCCAUGUAAUUAGGUCUCAAGAGCUUAGAAAAUAAUAUUCGGAGUAAAAGACCAAAUAAAUAAUUAAAUAAGCUAGAAAUAGGAGAUUAAAUAAGUAAAUUUUGCGAGUCCUCACACCUCCCCUCCUUAAAGAGAAUUUCGUCCUCGAGUUCAUUACCUUCUGUAACUCAGCACUCUGAACGUCGUGUGGGUGUGUUAAUGGUCAUUGCGUUCUUUCAGGAUGGCCAUUGUCUUCUCUGUCAUUGACUUUGUCGAGGAACAGUUUCGCAUUUCGCUUGUUGAGCAGAUAGUUCUCGUGGAUACCUCCGUUGGAGCAGUCAUGACUUAUGAUUGUACUCCACAUCGCCAUAACACAUUCGUCGCUUUAGCCAACAGUUUUCUUCAUUGUGAUUCGUCCUUCCACAAUAUCCACAGAGUCGGACGAUGGUGUUGUGACUGACUUGCUUGCGAGGUUUUCUUUGAUCGUGUUGUGUCCUACUGAAGUCCUCGUGACAUAGUUCCUUGGUUCCUUUAAUCUAUGAAGUGGUGGCAGGAAUAACAGGUCUACUUCAUCAACUCUUUCUAACUUGUGGUGGUGGUCCAUUUUUCCUAGUGUACUUGUCAAUGUAUCUCUUUUUCCUUUUUGAAAGCUCUCAUUGAGAUUUGUGCUUUUACCUUUGGCGCUUUUUCAGAGAGACGUCAACAAUGUUUCAACGCUGUGCUGCGGUCAAAGGGGCAUCUUGGAUUUCAAAUCGUAAUCCUUGGAUAAACCGUUCUUAUCUCUCGUUCAGGUAGCCACCAAUUCUGGGGCAUAUGUAAUACUUCGUAAGCCGUGUUUCAUACUCGGCUCACGCUUAAAGUUCUCUUGGACGAAGCUUUAUAUAAAUCACUGCUCUCUCUUUUCUUGGACAAUGUGGAGGAAGAAAUUCUCAUUAUAAUUCACGCACGAAGUUUAUCCAAAUUCUCGGAGUUUGAUCUCUUUCCCACUUGUUUCUUAUAACAUUCCACCAUGCUCGGGCUGCUCCUUCAAGUUGAAAUACAGCAAAUGUGACUUGUCUCUCCUUUGUGUAAUCCAAGGCAUCGAAUAUAUUUCUUAUAUUUUCUAACCAAUUCUCAGCCACCUCUGGAUCAGGCCCUCCAGCAAACUUGGGCGGAGAGAAUUUUUGAAACCGCUCUAAAGCUCGAUCCUCCCCUAUCUCUUGGUUUCCACGUUGGUUUCCUUGUCCAACACCUUGACCUUGUUGAGCUACCAAGAGCUCUAGGAUAUCCGUCAUUCGAGUUAAAACUUGUCCUAUCUGGUCAUUUCCUCUCCCAGCACUUAGCUCAACGUUUUGAUCGAUAUCGGACCCAUUAGCUACUCUUUCAUUUCGGGGUUGUCUAGGUUGACGUCCCUUUCGUUGUCCUCUAGUUUCCAUGUCCACAACUAAUCUAUACGCACAUGCAUAACCCUCACACUUAGUUAAAAUUGAACUACACUCAUAUACCAGUAGCAACAUUUAAAGAGGAUGAAGACACUUUCACAAAUAACAUUAUCACUAUGCAAGUAAACACAAACUAGAGUUCAUUAAAUCAUAACACAAAUUAUGGCCAAGUAAAGUUCAUGCCAAGUCAAAGUCAAUAACAAAAAUAAACAAGUGAUUAUCACAAGUACAUUCAUCUCCAAGGCGCAAACUCUUAAGUUCUACUCCCAUCGUCUCACUAUGAAAGAUCACCAGUAGAGAUUCACUAGAUUAAUUGGAACUAGACGAUUCUCGUUCCCUAACAUGCUCGAUUUCAAUCCCAACACAAGGAUCUUUUGGGUUACGAUAUUUUCCAUCUUCCACUCUUAAUUAUUGUACCAUCUUAACCAAACAAUUAUUGGUUUCCUGUAACCAUUCACAUGAAAUAUCGAUUCAUUCUUAUUCCCCACAAAUGGAGAUAUAAAGCCCCUAUGGUUGCUUUCCACUCCCAAGUACUCAGGUUCAAGAAUCCAAAAUAGGAUAAUUCACAUCUCGAGCCGGCCGGUCCCAAGAGUAAAUCACCACAUUCGAGAUUCCUACCCAACAUACAUAUCAAAUUCCCCCCAAUUAUCAAGAUAAAGGUUUUACAACCUAUAACAUUCAUGAUUCACAACUUACAUUUCUAGAAGGGCACUUAAGUCUUUACUUAAUCACAUAGUAAGGACCAAACACCACUUGGCCCUAUCUUGCUCCUUUGUAGAGACCACGUGAAGUGGCUCUAAAUUUCAUCGCUACAAGCAAUCAUUUAACUUUCAGAAUAGUCCCACAGUCCGGCAUCCUAAACAUUUAAGCCUAGGAUACACUACAAAAUCUGAAGCCUAAGCUCUGAUACCAAUUGUGACGCCCCCACUUCUCCCUAAGGCGAACCAAAGGGUAUCCGCGGGACGCCUGCCCAGCUCUCGCCAGGACUCACUACAAUCCAUCAUUCAAAAGCUCGAAAUACUUUAAGUAACUUCAAUACAUAAUUAAAGUACUCCAAAUAUCUCACACUUACACUUAUGCAGCUUCCAAGCUUAAGUACAACCCAACGGAAAAGGGUACAAUAGCCAUCCGUUAUAAUAUAACUUAAAGUUUUCAAAAGAAAACAAUCUAGUACUACUCACGAGCACCCUUGGUCUCGAACCCUGUAAAAGAAAACCAUAACGUGGGAUGAGCUACACAGCCCAGUGAGGUUCCAAUACACUCUAACAGUUCAAAUAAAUCAAGUAAGUUGGGCAUAUCAUAUGCAUGGUUCAAUGUUACACAAUGGCGUGUUAUCAUGAGGUGAUAAUCAUUGUACGAGUAAUUUGAGACAUUUAUCAUGGUAUGAGACAUUUAUCAUGAGACAGGUAUCAUGAUAUAAGUACAUUGGUCAGGUAACAGGUAUGGAGCAUAUCACAGGCAUAGUUCAGGAUUUCAUGUUUGACAUUUUAGCAUGAAACAAUUAUGCAAUGAUACAAGGUAAACAUAAUACGGUAGGAUAACGUGUUCCAUGGUGGACUCUGUCCGGUCAUCUGCACUUAUGACUUCUGACCCACGGUUGACGCGUCUGGCCAUCGCCUUAUCCCCUCGCAAGUGGUAAUACUCGAGUAUCACCGAAAUCGGUGGCCGGGUUCCUGUGAGAACCCGUAACUGUUCCAUUUUCUAGGCUUUUAUGUAUAUUUUCCAGGUUUUCUUAUUUUCAAUGGUUGUUGUUCUGUACUUUCUGUAUCCGGGAAAUUUUGCGUAAAUGAUUUUUAUGAGUAAAUAUAGAGUGUUUUAGAUGAUUUUUCUAAGCUUGUGAGUUUUUAGAAAAUUAAGAAUAAAUAGUGGACGUGGGACCCACUAGUGCGAAAAGUUCGGAAAAAUUCGGCCAAUAAGGUUAAGUUUUGGAUACUGUAUAUCAUUUAUCGGAUGUUAAGAGAUAAGUAGAGUGUGUGAAGUGAUUGAUGUGAGAGAGAAAAGAAUGAUAAGGUUGCAUUGAAUAGAGUGACACAUGUCACUUUCUUAUUGGAUACCUUUUUAAGAAUUACUAUUCCAAAUUUUGACUUUUGACCAAAGGUUAAAUAUCUCAAAAAUUCAUUAAAAUUUCCUCAUUUUCUCUCCACCAUAGCCGGCCCUCUUAAGCUCCAAGGAAGACAAAACUCUUCAACAUUCAAGCUUCUAACAAGACCAAAUCCACCAACUCAUGUGAUUAACUUAGUUUUUGCUCCAUAAAAUCUUACCUUUUAGUGAUAGUGAGAGCUUUAGUGAACUUUGUUUGAAGGACUAAGGUGCUCCACAUCUUCCUCUCUCUUGGUUCUUGGUAAGUGAAGCUUGAAACACCCUACUACAUCUAAUAAUGCUUAUUUUGUACUUAAUGGGGGCAUGAGAGAAGGAAUAUAUGAUUUGUUUCUUGAUUUGGCUUGUUUUGGUGAAGUUUUUAUUUUAUUGGGAAUUUUUCUGGUUUAAUAUGAUCUUGAUGUUGGGGGCUUGUAUGAUGAAUUGUAAUGGUUGGAAAUGGCUCUAGUGGAUGUGAAAUGUGGUUAAAUGCAAUCAAUUUUGGAUUUGGUGUGAAAUUUGAAAAGUUAGGGUUCUUGAACCCCAAUUCUGUCCGGUUUUAGAUCACUGGGUUAGAGGCCGAAUUAGACUUUGCUCAAAACAUGAAAGUUGUUGGUAUUGAUGUGAUGGAGAUUCCUGUAAAAUUUCAGGUCAUUUGGAUUAAUGUAGAAUGAGUUAUGACGAAAAUACUGUAGCUGUUCUGCUUUGGACAGAAUGCGAAAACUGCUAUAGUAAUUGGCCAUUUUGACUGGAAUUGGUUUGGAUUCUGGAGUUGGUGUCUUCUGAUGAAAUGUAUCUGAGUGUCUUAACUAACAUAUGCCUUUGGAAUUUCGGCAUUUGGACUUGUAUGGCCUGAGAUAUACCGAUUACAGUUUUUUGUGUUUUGUGAACCUGUUUUAGCAAUUCUGGGUUAGUAUUUGGCAUAUUUGACCUAGUUGUGUUACGAACUGGAUUGAGUGGUCUUCUACAUUAUUGUAUCCCUGUUUCAUAGCUUCGAAACGGUGGGUCUUACACCCCCAUCCGAUAACCGUAGAGAAUUUGACGCCAUUACCGCAUAAUGAGUGUAAAACAGUUUUCUAUUUGGGGCCAAGACUAAGGCCAUUUUCUAAUUUCUGGUUUGCUAUUAUGCUUAUAUAUGUAUAUGAAACCCUAUUGGGGUUGUGAUUGGCAUGGUUUUAUGAACCUAUGUUGGCAAUGGUUUUUAUAAGGCUUAUCUUAUUCCGGUCAUUUUUCCUAGCUAACGUUGUUGUUACUUGUCUGACUUGGAGCCUAGUGACGGUUUUGGGAAUUCGAGAUGAACUUUGUGGUGGAGUGUUGGACUGAUUGAGGAAAUUAAUGAAGGCCGUUAAUGGCUGAAAAGAAGUAAAUUUAGGGGAAUGGCUGCCCGAUUUUCCAGGCCUGUGUUGGUUCUUUAAGUUGGAUUGCUUUUGAUGGAAAGAAGGGCUUCUGGGUUGUUUGCGCCUAGGUCUUGAUGUUAUCUUUUUGUUUUCAAGAAAAUCAUGUUUUUGCACCCUUGCAUUAGUAUGUCUCACUUGUGCAUUCCGUUUAUUCGAUUCUAGUUAUGAAACCUUCAAUUGGUUUAUUUUGAUUAUUUUAGGGUUUCUUGGCGAUUAAGGCCAAUCUGAAGUGAAACUUUUGAAGUUGAAUCGGUGAGUGUACCACUGCCUGCUACCCUUUAUGUGAAAUAUCUUGAAAUUACUGAAUACUGACUUAUGACUAUUGAACCAAGUACUGCUUGAUAAAGGUGGGCGAGGGUGUACUUUAUCACACUCGUUCUCAUGGUCUGUUAAUCAUUCGCAUCUAAACGUCUAUCUGAAUCUUGUUAUCGUGUAUCUGAAACUGUACUGAAGUCUUGUUAUUCUGUAUCUGAACUGAUCUGUCUGACGUCGUUGAAGCUGUGUCGCAACGACCUUUCUGUAUCCAUACGAGCUCAAAUCCUUGUGGCUAACGUUAUUCAAGUCGGGCCGGCAUAGGCCUGACGAUUAGAUAACGAACGACGGUAAGUGCUGUUCGCGGAUCUUUGGGUAUUGAGACCCUUGGGUUCCGGUAUACUCAGUCUUAACCAUUUCUGUUACUGAUAUGGUGAGCGGGCCCGGUAAAGGGGUGUUUGGUGGACGGAAUUUGGAGUGAAGAGGGGUCUACGGACACUUUGGUUCUAUAUACGUUGACGGAGGGUCAACCGGUCUGGAUCAAGUACUGCGCUGGAAAUUUGGCUCCUGAGAGCCACCCGUAUCCUUCUGAUUUGAAUCAGUGGUUCCGUUGCUUUAUAUCUGGCAUGUGUAUCUGAUUUGUUAAACGUGAAAUGCCAUGAUUUUAUUGCUAUCUGUUUGGUACCUCAUUGAGCGCAAGCUCACCCCUUUCUGUUCCCUUUUGUUUAACUUACAGGAAAAUAAUCACUUUUGGAAGCUCAUACUUGUUGGUUGCCAAAUUGAGCUAUGUAUAUGUCUAUUUUGAAUAGCUCAUCUCAUGAAACCCUAAUGUGUAUUGGGUUCAUCUUCUGAAUGGCAAACCGAAUAUGUGUAUACCAUAUGUAUAGUUUUUGACAUGCCAAGUGUGGUUGUAAAUGUUGAAUUGCUAUGUAUUACUGUUUGGUGGGUUCUCGGUUUUCCUUAUUCCAGGCACUAUUCAUCGUUUUCCUUUUGCUUAUUAUUUUGUUAUUUUGGUUCUUGUGGCUUGUCCGAGCGCACUUUUGCAUUUCCGAAACGUUUUAGAACGCGUGUAACCGCUCCGUAGUCCUGGCGAGAGCCGGGCAGGCAGUCCGCUAACCCCUUUGGUUCGCCUUAGGGGAAGGUGGGGCUGUUACAGUUCCAACCUACCCGACCGAGCCCAGUCCUGGCUCGAGUAGGUCAGUAACCAAGGGCAGGGCCCAAGUUCAGCUUAGAGCUUACAACAUGCACAGGUAACCAAGUAAUUCGACAAAAGGUAAAAUUCAUCAUUGUGACGGUAGUCGAGUGAGUAAAGUACAGCACUCGCCUAAUAAUGAUGGACAGCAUUCAUAUAAAACAUUGAUUCAUAUAAUGAAGUAAUUUCAGGUGGUUCAAGUAAACGGCAAGUAAGUUGGUGAUCACGUAAAGGCAGAUAACCAAGUAAGCAAGUAACAAAUAGCAUUAGAAAAAAACGGGUAAGUAAAACACGGUAAAACCGGUAAAAGCGGUAAACGUUAACGGAGUAAUACGGUAAUUGGUAGAACAUAUGUCAUUUCGAAUAGGCCGCCAUUGCCGUUUUCACUGUUCACUCACGUAAGAGUGUAGGAGAUUCACUCAACGCUUAUGCUGUCAUACGCAUAAUUAAUCAUUUAAACGACAUCAUGUAAGAUUAUGGCUCUCAAAACAUUUCAUAUCUAGUAUUUCAAGUAAUCACAUAAGUAUGCUCUUUAAGCAUUUCAUAUCGAAUAGUUCAAGUAGUCACGUAAAUAUACUCUUCAAGUGUUUCAUAUCGAAUAGUUCAAAUAUACAUACUUCAGGUGUUUCAUGUCGAGUAAUUCAAGUAUACACUAUUCAAAUAUGCAUGAGUGUGGUAAAUACUUAACAUAUAGCACUUAACACCUAAUAAUCAUGACAUAAGCGUGUCCUAGACUUAUUCGACUACGUAUUCCUAUAUGGAACACUCACCUAGUCAAAACAAGCGAGUAGUUCUCAAACAAGCAUUUUAGAUGUCCGCUCCGAGAUCCUCUUGAAUGUCCCCUCGAGUGCCUGAGCAAACAAUAAUCAACUACCACUCAAUAUCAUUCUAAUUAUCGAGGAAAAUUGUACACUAGUACAAUCUAAGAAAUUAACGCGGAGACGAGUCUAAGAGUUCGUGUAACUCGAGGUUCAAAAGUGGGUUUUAAAACACAAGACAAAUAUGAUUUCUAUCUCUGGAAUCAAAUAUAAAAUGAUCAAAUGAUAUUGAAGGAAAAGGGAGAGUUCGAAACCCUUAGUUUCCUCUAAGUUAGAAAAAUUCCCGAUUUAACAAGCAAUCUUUGAAAAAUCAUAUCUCACUCUCUACAAGUCCAAAAUUGGAAACUUGACUGGUUGGAAUCCUCUUUCAAGUACUAAAAGUUCUAGAGACACUUUCCACGAAUGUAGUGAAAUGCAUCUCGAAGAUUUUGGCUCAAAGUUGGUAAUUGAAUUACCAAGACAGAUUUAGAGUUGGGUUUUUGGCCAAUUUAGAAAUUCGCAAAAUUCAACAUUGUUGGAACUAACUUGAAAAUUUGGAAAUCAAUUAGUGUUGCAAUCCAAGAGUAUAACAAAACAAGCGGAACGAGAAACGGAGUUUCGAGCACCAAGAUAUAGUACCUCCAAGUUGCUGAAAAAGUUAAGACUGUUGGGCUAUUUUCCAAGUUUAAAACUAGAUUCGAAAUAUCAUUUGGUCAUCAAGUUGGCAUUAGAAAUACAUCAAACUUGGUACACUAAAUCUUCCAUGUGUGAACAACAUUUCUACUAAGUUUCGUACAAAAACUCUCACGGUAAGGUAGUCAUUAAAACAACCAAAGUUUAUGAAGAGUUUCACGGCUAAACUACCUUCUCACUUUUCUUUCGUUUACAAACUUUUUGUACCAUGAAAUCAGUUCCAAAUCUCUCCAUUAUUGAAACC
rnacentral:lncRNA from 1 species